rnacentral:rRNA from 1 species
GAUGAACGCUGGCGGCGUGCCUAAUACAUGCAAGUCGAGCGAACGGACGAGAAGCUUGCUUCUCUGAUGUUAGCGGCGGACGGGUGAGUAACACGUGGAUAACCUACCUAUAAGACUGGGAUAACUUCGGGAAACCGGAGCUAAUACCGGAUGAUAUUUUGAACCGCAUGGUUCAAAAGUGAAAGACGGUCUUGCUGUCACUUAUAGAUGGAUCCGCGCUGCAUUAGCUAGUUGGUAAGGUAACGGCUUACCAAGGCAACGAUGCAUAGCCGACCUGAGAGGGUGAUCGGCCACACUGGAACUGAGACACGGUCCAGACUCCUACGGGAGGCAGCAGUAGGGAAUCUUCCCCAAUGGGCGAAAGCCUGACGGAGCAACGCCGCGUGAGUGAUGAAGGUCUUCGGAUCGUAAAACUCUGUUAUUAGGGAAGAACAUAUGUGUAAGUAACUGUGCACAUCUUGACGGUACCUAAUCAGAAAGCCACGGCUAACUACGUG